UGGUACCGCCCAUACUGAGUGUGCCGGUGCAGACGUGCAUUUUAUGCCCGGUUGGGUCACAGGUUGUCCACUGCAUGUCAGCCAUGAAAUCAGUGAAAAGUCUUCCUGCAUGUUAAUUCAUUAUGAGCUGUGAGCGACUAUACACUUCGUGUGGCACGAGGAAUUGCUUUGGGCACUGCUGGCCCGGGGCUGGGAGGCUAGCUAGCUAGUUUGGAGUAUUACAGGUGGUGGUGCAGUUGUGUGGAGUGC